CAACCUGCCCUUCAGAGGGGGACAACAGUUGGAAACGACUGCUAAUACCGCAUACGAUCUAAUCUCGGCAUCGAGGAAAGAUGAAAGGUGGGCCUCUAUUUAUAAGCUAUCACUGAAGGAGGGGGAUUGCGUCUGAUUAGCUAGUUGGAGGGGUAACGGCCCACCAAGGCGAUGAUCAGUAGCCGGUCUGAGAGGAUGAACGGCCACAUUGGGGACUGAGACACGGCCCAGACUCCUACGGGAGGCAGCAUG
rnacentral:rRNA from 1 species